rnacentral:rRNA from 1 species
AGAGUUUGAUCCUGGCUCAGAAUCAACGCUGGCGGCGCGCCUAACACAUGCAAGUCGAACGAGAAAGCAGGAGCAAUCUUGUGAGUAAAGUGGCGUACGGGUGAGUAACACGUGGAUCAUCUACCCUCUUGUGGGGGAUAACUCUGGGAAACCGGAGCUAAUACCGCAUAAGUCCGAGAGGAGAAAGCAGCAAUGCGCAGGAGGAGGAGUCCGCGGCCGAUUAGCUAGUUGGUAGGGUAAAAGCCUACCAAGGCUACGAUCGGUAGCCGGCCUGAGAGGGCACACGGCCACACUGGCACUGAAACACGGGCCAGACUCCUACGGGAGGCAGCAGUGGGGAAUCUUGCACAAUGGGGGCAACCCUGAUGCAGCGACGCCGCGUGAGCGAUGAAGCCCUUCGGGGUGUAAAGCUCUUUCGGCAGGGAAGAUUAUGACGGUACCUGCAGAAGCAGCUGCGGCUAACUACGUGCCAGCAGCCGCGGUAAUACGUAGGCAGCGAGCGUUGUUCGGAGUUACUGGGCGUAAAGGGUGUGUAGGCGGUCUUCUAAGUUUGGUGUGAAAUCUCCCGGCUCAACUGGGAGGGUGCGCCGAAAACUGGGAGGCUAGAGUGCGGGAUGGGAGAGUGGAAUUCCUGGUGUAGCGGUGAAAUGCGUAGAUAUCAGGAGGAAACCUGUGGUGUAGACGGCUCUCUGGACCGCAACUGACGCUGAGACACGAAAGCGUGGGUAGCAAACAGGAUUAGAUACCCUAGUAGUCC